rnacentral:ncRNA from 1 species
GCAGCAAUUGAAGGGGGUGCCAGAAGAAGGGGGGGGGGGAAAUACAAUAAAAAAGAGCUCUCCGUCCCAGAGAGCAAAUGCUUUGCAAUUUCACGUGCCCCCUCGGCACUCGCCCAUAAUGUGACUGCACUUGCUGACCCCAAAAUACUUUCAGAUCGGUGUUUGCAAACUCCUGUCUUCAAAGGGACUCCCCACCCAGCCACAGCUCGGGGAGGUGGAGGGGAAACUGAGGCAAAGAGCACCCAGGGCAUGUGCAGCGUGGUGGAAAGGCAGGAAGCCUUUUAAAAGGUGGCAAACUGGUAUUUGCCCACUAGACCCAGCUGGUGAGAGCUGGAGCUCUGGGAAUCCCUGGGCAGUGGGGCCCUGUCUGCAUCCACCCACCCACUGCUUGGCUCACAUGCCCUCUCUUCCUCCUCUCGUUUUUAAAGUACAGCUCUUCUCCUGUUCACUUCAUAGAAUACUAUGGGAUAGAAAGGACCUUUCAAGAUCCCUUUUUCUCCCUUCUCUUCCUUUCCAGCAAGGUAAAAAAAGACAAGGUAUAAAGCAAGUCAGGGAAAAGAACCCCCCAAAAUCCAACCAAGUGGUUGCUUUAAAAAAAAAUAAAAAAAGCUUUUCAGAAGGAAAAUUAAUUUCUCUACAGAAGUUUUCAUCUAAAACUUUCAAAGACGGGCAGUAAGAAUUUUAGUGAAAACUUCCAUUUAUUUUUCUCCAAACAGUGCAGCACUGCCAGCACCUGAGGGAAGCCUACUCAAACUGCAAGCAUCCCCUUUUCACCAGGGGUACUCCUCUUGCCUUACCCCAAGCCCUGGGGUGCACAUCCCAACAGCAUCCACAGUCAAAUCCCAGGAAUACAGACAUAACUACCCAAGCAUAUGCUGCAGCAAAACUCCCCUCAGUUCCCAUUUUAUGCCAUUUUUGCCCCUUUCCCUUGUUUUAAGGGAGAGGCGCUGGCAGGCAGGCGCAUCUCCCUGUGCCCCUGCACACAGAUUACACGGGCUGUGGAUUUCAAUUUUACAUCGUCUGGCCUUUCCUAGCCCUGAUCACACUUAUUAACUAGAGGAACCUGCGAGAGAUGAUGAAAAACUUUGAGUUCAAAAGGAAAAGAUGGAGGAAGGGGGAGAAGAAAUACCGGAAAGUAUUAAAAACUCUUUACUAAACAUUGGAAGUCAAAGUCAGGUAGUUUCCAAUUUUCCGAGCCAACUAUGAAAACCCCUAUUAAAUAAAAUAACUAAAUAGAAAUAAAAGUGACAUUUGGCUUGCAUUCCAUCAUUACGGUGUGAGUCUGUCCUCUUUUUAUUCUCUCUCCUAAAAGCACAGUUCAAAUGACAAAUAGUUUGUUGCAGUGUAUCAAUGCCUUCUAUUUAUCCCUCCCCGCAGGGGGGCUAGUCCUGCAAUGUCAUCUUUAAAGGGGAGAGAAAAAAAAUAAAAAGGGGGGGAAAAAAGGAAAAAAAAAAAAGGAAGAGUGUGUGGAAAGGGAGAGAGGGAGGGGGGAAGAAAGAAGCAAGAAAAACGGGGCAAGAAGAGAAGAAAUUGGAAGCAAAUGGUCCAUGAAGUAAACCAUGAUGCAGAGCUAUCGAUGCCGCAAAUGGUUUAUUCAUCCGGCUGAUAUUGUUGUGCCCGGGACUGAAUGAACUCUUUCAGAGUGCCAUAUGAAGUUAAAGCAAGUAAAUUUCUAUCUUUCUCCGCAUUAGCUGCCUCAUUGCCCUUCAAUCGGGCCUCACAGAGGCAGAAAAUAGCUCAACCAUCUGCUUUCAAAUCCCUGCGUUUGGCAGGUCCCGGGGGUUUGGGGAGGGGAGCCCGCCGUGCCUGGCACCUCGGAUCCUGCCACAGCCACCAGGUGCCCGGCACUGCUUCCCGGGCCGGGGAGGGGACACUGGUGACACCGUGCUCAGGGGAGUCACCUCCCAGCGCUGUCGGAGGGUGAGAUGCCCAAGCGGAGGAUGCUCGGGGACGGGGUCAGGGCACUGGUCAGCCCCGUUUUUCCAAGCUGGCUGUGGGAAGGAAGCGGGCUUGGCAAAGCCUGGGGACUGGGGGUGUUCAGCUGGAGAAGAGGAGAGGUGCUGGGUGCGGAGGGGUGGGUCAGGAGGGGCGCGGGUCAGCGCCUUGCCAGCUCCAGCUAGAGGCACGAACACCCAUCCCGGUGCCAAGCGAUCCCCUGGAGGAGAGGAGGCUCCACGGGAACCCGGCUUCGCAAAGCCUGACCCACAGACCCCCCUCUGGAAGACACCAAAGGGGGAGCGGGACCCCCUCUCCACCUUCCCCUUCCUUCCCCCGCCGGAGGCACGCGUCAGCCCAGCUGCGGGGAGCCGGCUGCGCCGAGCUCCAGCGGCUCCUCUCCCUCUCCUCCUGUCUCCCCCUCCUUCUCCCCGGGUUGUCUAAUUAGCGCUGAUGGAUAGUUUAAGCCAUGCCGUCGCGAGACGAUCGGUGGACGGGCCACCGUUACUUAACCCGGAAAAGGGACACACUCCGUGUGUGUUCAUAUAAUAGCCAAAUGCCUCGUCAUCUAAUUAGUGACGCGCAUGAAUGGAUGAACGAGAUUCCCACUGUCCCUACCUACUCUCCAGCGAAACCACAGCCAAGGGAACGGGCUUGGCGGAAUCAGCGGGGAAAGAAGACCCUGUUGAGCUUGACUCUAGUCUGGCGCUGUGAAGAGACAUGAGAGGUGUAGAAUAAGUGGGAGGCCGGGCGCGCGCUCGGCGGUGCGGGGCGACCCGCCCGCCGGCGUCCCGGCCGUCGGUGAAAUACCACUACUCUGAUCGUUUUUUCACUUACCCGGUGAGGCGGGGGGGCGAGCCCCGAGGGGGGCUCUCGCUUCUGGCGCCAAGCGCCCGGCGCGCGCCGCCCCGCCGUGAAAUUUCCAAUUAGGCUGCAAACACACGAGACGCCCCCGGCCCCGUGGCUGCCACGCUGGCCGGGCGGCCCCGAUCGAUUACCUUGGGGUUCUCCAGGAUCCGGGCUUCGU